UAUUGUGGCCAUACCAACCUGUCAUUGCCCGAUCUCGUUAAAUCUCGGAAGCUAAACAGGUCUGGGCCUGGUUAGUAGUUGAAUGGGAGACCACGGAGAAUUCCAGGUGCCACAGUGG
rnacentral:rRNA from 1 species